CCUACGGGAGGCAGCAGUGAGGAAUAUUUGUCAAUGGACGAGAGUCUGAACCAGCCACGUAGCGUGAAGGAUGAAUGCCCUAUGGGUUGUAAACUUCUUUUAUAAAGGAAUAAAACGAGGCACGUGUGCCUUUUUGCAUGUACUUUAUGAAUAAGGAUCGGCUAACUCCGUGCCAGCAGCCGCGGUAAUACGUAGGAUCCGAGCGUUAUCCGGAUUGAUUGGGUUUAGAGGGAGCGUAGAUGGGUUGUUAAGUCCGUUGUGAAAGUUUGCGGAUCAACCGUAAAAUUGCAAUUGAUACUGGCAGUCUUGAGUGCAGUUGAGGUAGGCGGAAUUCGUGGUGUAGCGGUGAAAUGCUUAGAUAUCACGAAGAACCCCGAUUGCGAAGGCAGCUUACUAAACUGUGACUGACAUUGAUGCUCGAAAGUGUGGGUAUCAAACAGGAUUAGAUACCCUUGCAGUC
rnacentral:rRNA from 1 species